rnacentral:lncRNA from 1 species
UUGGUGUAGAUAAGUUUAAGUUCAAAGGGGAAUGUUAAACUUAUUCGGAACUUCAAAGGGGAAGUUCAGGAUUUUGAAGGGGGGACCGAGUUCGUAUGAUGAACCAUUGAUAAACAAUUGGUACCACAUGCAUUGGGUCAAGCUAUGGAGUCUUAUUGCAUUUUCAUUAUAUCGUGUGGUGUUUAAUUGUGGUAAGAAUGUGGAUU